GUGACGUGCGUGUCAAGCUUAGUCUGUGACAAGGGAAGAAUGGAGAUUGGAUUCUUUGCUGGGACCAGGUAACAUGAGAUUGUCUGACAAGGAGUUCCGUUAGCUCCGUGUUCACUGAAGCUUGCCACACCACCAGUAAUAGUAUGCACCUUGCCUCAGCGUCCUCGUGGAUGCCAGCUAGCCUGUGGCCCAGGUCUUCGGCAGCAGCAGCAGCUUUGGGCAGGAGCGCAGGUGUAGUGAUGACUGGCCUGGCUGACAGUGCUCAUGUUAAACCUGAGAGUGUCUGGGGCCGGGAGAAGGGAACAGGUGAGCCCAAGAACAGGCUGUGGGUGGCUUGUUAUUGCUCUUUGGUGCUUUCUCUCUACCUGCCCCAGAAUUCCAAGAAAAACUAUUCCCUGCUGUAGCCCCAGAAGCUUCAGCACUGCCAGAGAUACAGUGGGCACACAGCAGAUAGUUGUUGAAUUAAUAGUCAGAAAUAUCUUGCAAUUAGACCAUGA